ensembl:lincRNA
UAAGCUAAAUGUGUCUUAUUAAAUUAUUUUUAAAACUUUAAGACCAGUCCGUUAAAAUAUAAAGAACAACACCACAUCAUUUGUGGCAAACUUUAGAAAAGCCGUCGAAAAGGUGUCAUUAAAAAUAAGCUAAAUGCGUCUUAUUAAAUUAUUUUUAAAACUUUAAGACCUGUCCGUUAAAAUACUGUAACGCAUACGGCCACCAGUGAGUGUGUAAGAGCCGGCUUACCGGAGCGGUGACGUCACCGCCCUUCCCUGUGAUAACAGAGGCUGCAGCCGCUACAAAUGAUAAAUCUUAAACCGCUGCUAACGCGGAGGAAAUGAAGAACCGUAACUCAAAAGAGGCGUUUAAUGACCCGGGUGUGCCGUCGUCCGAAGAAUAUGUCGGAAUUCUUACAAAGAGUGCCUUACAAUCUUCUUUCUGCAAAGCUUGAUGUGAAAAUCAAUGAGUCGAAUGCUAAGGUCUUUAAAUUUGUUAAAGAGAUAGUUGUGUAUGUCAAGAUCCCGAGUGAAAUUACAGCCCUACUCAGGCACAUUUUGUUUGCUCCGUUAGACCAGGUCGCCCGGUGCAGUUCUUAUGGUUUUAGACAUGGGGAGCGGAAGGACGUUAUGAACGCUUUUUCAGAUGCAGCAAAGUUUCUGAGCAUUGUUGGGGUGAUCGUUACCUGUACCGAACUAAUUUUUCCGCACCAACAUUUCAUUGGUGAUUGCAAACAGGAGUCUGUCACGUGUGUGAACAAUUCAAAAGUGUGUGUUGUGAUGUUUCGGUGUUUGAAAACCUACUAAUGAAAUAAAGUGGUUCACAUUUCACAUGCUAUUGGUCCUGCGAGUGUGUGUGUGUGGCUGCUUACAUGCCCCUGAUGUUUUUGUGAGACACGCUGUCAGGGUCCACCACUCGAUUUUUCGAUUUUUAAGAACUUUUAUUUCCUUUUCACAAUAAAAUACAGGGCAUCACAAAUGCUUUACAUUAAUAUACAUACUUAAAACAGUAUAUAUGAUCACAUCUUAUUACAUUUUGACACGGUACCAGUUACAUAGCAACAAUUUCUUUUUUCUGAAGCAAAUCACAUUCUUUACUUAAACAUGAUAGUGUUUUUCACAGUUUCUUGAGAUAUUGACCUAUGCCCUCUAUUUACUCUGACACCCGGCCGCGGCAGGUGCUGCUCACACCCCGGGAUCUCGCGGCCCUCUCCAGACACCCCACGCCGCCGUAACUCCCCGAUUCCCUAGGGUUAUAAUAGAGCGCGCUCAACCCCGCGGCAGACAUGAUCGCCUUCCAACCCUCAUACACGCUUUCAUACACUUAUUUAUAAAUCGAGAGAUGCGGUGGCAGGGGCUUUUGGACCCUGAGGCUCAGGACCGCUCGGUGGGGGAUGGCGGGACAUCCGACCCUUAACGACACACCUUCGGCUCGGGAGGGGGCGGGACAUCCAACCAUGACAACGCACCAUUGGAUGACAAAGGGGCGGGUCAUCCGCCCCACCGUGGACACCCAUUGGCUGAAACAGGGGUGUGGCACCUGUCGAAAAAGUUUGACGAAAGGUGUCCCUUUAUACUAUUCCUGUGCAGUGCGGCAGUGAGAAUGGCCCCAGUGCAGCAGUGAGAAUGGCCCUAGUGCAGUGCAGUGCUGUGCAAUGCAGCAGUGAGGGCGGCUCCUGUGCAGUGCGUUGCAACAGUGGGAACAUCUCUAGUGCAGUGUAACGCAGUACAGCAGUGACAACAGCUUCAGUGUAGUGCAGCAGUGUAAACAGGUGCUCGCAGGUGUUUAAGACUGUGAACCCUGUUCAUGCCAAUAGGGAUGGGCAUAGCCCAAAAGGAGUGUCAAUGGCUGUGACUCUCCCUAGCCCUCUUUCUCCAUCUCCAGAUCAUCCCCUUAUCUUCUGACUCACACUCACUCGUUCCAUCCCGCCUUCUCAGUCUUCUCAGCCCCCUUCAUCUCUCCAUUCCUCCUGUCACUCUUCCUCGCUGGCUUUCUCUUUUCUUCUUCUUUCUCUUCCUUUCAGUCUCUGUCAUGGAUGUCCUGCUCUCUGGUGUUUUUCGGCAUGGUGUCUUUGGCUUUGUGCUGUGUGUGCUGUUACUGUAUUGCUGUUCAGUACUUGCCUGGGGAAUUGACACCACAGCUGGUCAGGCACUCCAUCCCCCGAUCCUUCUAAAAAUAGGCUGUGUUGAUUCUUUAUUGCUUUGGACUUCACUGAUCUUUCUUCUUCGAUCACACCUGAUUUCUGUCGGUCUCUUCUUCUCUUCCCUCUCUUUCUUUUUCUCUCUUUCCCUUCAUCCUUCCCUCUGUCCAUCUCUCUGCCUCUCUCUAAGCAUCCCUUACUCUGAUGCCUAGCAACCGUUUCCCCAGCAACAAAACCUCGUGCCUCUCUCCCUCCCUGUGUGCUUGGGAUUGGCCGGUGGCCGUCUCCUUCUGCCUCCUUUCCCCAGCACAGAGUUUCUCAGGAAGCUCUGGAGGCACAGGUGUACAGGUGGCCAAGGGUUAGAACAUCCUGCCUUCCUGACUACCCAAGGAGUGCAACCUGGCACAGCCAAAACCAUGGCAGUCCUCAUUCUGCCAAUAACACUCAGGGAUUACGUUAAAAAAAACAUCUUAGUGCACAACUAAAUAUAGAACUGGCUGAAAAGAGCUUUGUAACCAAUGCAAUAAACAGAUA